rnacentral:rRNA from 1 species
UAGGUUAACGAGGCGAACCGGGGGAACUGAAACAUCUAAGUACCCCGAGGAAAAGAAAUCAACCGAGAUUCCCCCAGUAGCGGCGAGCGAACGGGGAGCAGCCCAGAGUCUGAAUCAGCUUGUGUGUUAGUGGAACGGUCUGGAAAGUCCGACGGUACAGGGUGAUAGUCCCGUACACCAAAAUGCACAGGCUGUGAACUCGAAGAGUAGGGCGGGACACGUGGUAUCCUGUCUGAAUAUGGGGGGACCAUCCUCCAAGGCUAAAUACUCCUGACUGACCGAUAGUGAACCAGUACCGUGAGGGAAAGGCGAAAAGAACCCCGGCGAGGGGAGUGAAAAAGAACCUGAAACCGUGUACGUACAAGCAGUGGGAGCACCUUCGGGUGUGACUGCGUACCUUUUGUAUAAUGGGUCAGCGACUUAUAUUCUGUAGCAAGGUUAACCGUAUAGGGGAGCCGCAGGGAAACCGAGUCUUAACUGGGCGUUAAGUUGCAGGGUAUAGACCCGAAACCCGGUGAUCUAGCCAUGGGCAGGUUGAAGGUUGGGUAACACUAACUGGAGGACCGAACCGACUAAUGUUGAAAAAUUAGCGGAUGACUUGUGGCUGGGGGUGAAAGGCCAAUCAAACCGGGAGAUAGCUGGUUCUCCCCGAAAGCUAUUUAGGUAGCGCCUCGUGAACUCAUCUUCGGGGGUAGAGCACUGUUUCGGCUAGGGGGUCAUCCCGACUUACCAACCCGAUGCAAACUACGAAUACCGAAGAAUGUUAUCACGGGAGACACACGGCGGGUGCUAACGUCCGUCGUGAAGAGGGAAACAACCCAGACCGCCAGCUAAGGUCCCAAAGUCAUGGUUAAGUGGGAAACGAUGUGGGAAGGCACAGACAGCCAGGAUGUUGGCUUAGAAGCAGCCAUCAUUUAAAGAAAGCGUAAUAGCUCACUGGUCGAGUCGGCCUGCGCGGAAGAUGUAACGGGGCUAAACCAUGCACCGAAGCUGCGGCAGCGACACUAUGUGUUGUUGGGUAGGGGAGCGUUCUGUAAGCCUGCGAAGGUGUGCUGUGAGGCAUGCUGGAGGUAUCAGAAGUGCGAAUGCUGACAUAAGUAACGAUAAAGCGGGUGAAAAGCCCGCUCGCCGGAAGACCAAGGGUUCCUGUCCAACGUUAAUCGGGGCAGGGUGAGUCGACCCCUAAGGCGAGGCCGAAAGGCGUAGUCGAUGGGAAACAGGUUAAUAUUCCUGUACUUGGUGUUACUGCGAAGGGGGGACGGAGAAGGCUAUGUUAGCCGGGCGACGGUUGUC